GACGAACGCUGGCGGCGUGCUUAACACAUGCAAGUCGAACGGAAAGGCCCUGCUUUUGUGGGGUGCUCGAGUGGCGAACGGGUGAGUAACACGUGAGUAACCUGCCCUUGACUUUGGGAUAACUUCAGGAAACUGGGGCUAAUACCGGAUAGGAGCUCCUGCUGCAUGGUGGGGGUUGGAAAGUUUCGGCGGUUGGGGAUGGACUCGCGGCUUAUCAGCUUGUUGGUGGGGUAGUGGCUUACCAAGGCUUUGACGGGUAGCCGGCCUGAGAGGGUGACCGGCCACAUUGGGACUGAGAUACGGCCCAGACUCCUACGGGAGGCAGCAGUGGGGAAUAUUGCACAAUGGGCGGAAGCCUGAUGCAGCAACGCCGCGUGCGGGAUGACGGCCUUCGGGUUGUAAACCGCUUUCGCCUGUGACGAAGCGUGAGUGACGGUAAUGGGUAAAGAAGCACCGGCUAACUACGUGCCAGCAGCCGCGGUGAUACGUAGGGUGCGAGCGUUGUCCGGAUUUAUUGGGCGUAAAGGGCUCGUAGGUGGUUGAUCGCGUCGGAAGUGUAAUCUUGGGGCUUAACCCUGAGCGUGCUUUCGAUACGGGUUGACUUGAGGAAGGUAGGGGAGAAUGGAAUUCCUGGUGGAGCGGUGGAAUGCGCAGAUAUCAGGAGGAACACCAGUGGCGAAGGCGGUUCUCUGGGCCUUUCCUGACGCUGAGGAGCGAAAGCGUGGGGAGCGAACAGGCUUAGAUACCCUGGUAGUCCACGCUGUAAACGGUGGGUACUAGGUGUGGGGUCCAUUCCACGGGUUCCGUGCCGUAGCUAACGCUUUAAGUACCCCGCCUGGGGAGUACGGCCGCAAGGCUAAAACUCAAAGGAAUUGACGGGGCCCCGCACAAGCGGCGGAGCAUGCGGAUUAAUUCGAUGCAACGCGUAGAACCUUACCUGGGUUUGACAUGGAUCGGGAGUGCUCAGAGAUGGGUGUGCCUCUUUUGGGGUCGGUUCACAGGUGGUGCAUGGCUGUCGUCAGCUCGUGUCGUGAGAUGUUGGGUUAAGUCCCGCAACGAGCGCAACCCUUGUUCACUGUUGCCAGCACGUUAUGGUGGGGACUCAGUGGAGACCGCCGGGGUCAACUCGGAGGAAGGUGGGGAUGACGUCAAGUCAUCAUGCCCCUUAUGUCCAGGGCUUCACGCAUGCUACAAUGGGUGGUACAGAGAGUGGCGAGCCUGUGAGGGUGAGCGAAUCUCGGAAAGCCGGUCUCAGUUCGGAUUGGGGUCUGCAACUCGACCUCAUGAAGUCGGAGUCGCUAGUAAUCGCAGAUCAGCAACGCUGCGGUGAAUACGUUCCCGGG
rnacentral:rRNA from 1 species